GGAACAUUUAAAACUUCUAAGACCUGAAACAACAGAGAUUGCUAGGAAGAGCCCAUCCAAAUGUACUACCUCCGAAAGCACAGCCUCACUGCUACCGCCCUCCUCCCAGCCCCACUACAGGCACGGAAGUCCGGCCAAUCUACAGCAGCCCCGGUGCCCCCACAGCCUGCUGGGGGGAGCCCAUUCCCACACACACCUGCCCGCUCUGUCCCGUCAGGACCGGCCGGGUCCCCGCUACGUGCCUCGGGCACAGCCCCGUCCCGCCCGCUCGGGACAGGCCACCACGACGCGCAGCACCGGCCGAAGCCGGGGGCAAGGCGGUGGGGCGGGCGACCCGGGGACCACCACCGCCACCAUGGCUGUUGUUAUUUGUUUCCGGUAGCACCACAGCGUGUCGGGGAGCAGGAACAACGCGGCACCGCCCGCCCCCCGCCGCCCCGCUCCCGGCAGCGCCCCCGCCCCACCCCACCGCCGGGCCGCCCCGCCGCACUCACUCGCCAGCCGCGGGCCAUCCAGCCCCCCGCCGCCGCCGCCGCCUCCCGCCCCCAGCUCGGCUUUCUUAGGCCCCACCGCCGCCGCCGCCGGGCCCGAGUUGGCCCCGUGCGGCGGGUACCCAGACCCGGCGGCGGCGGCGGCCGAGGGGAUGCCGAGCGGGAGCCCGCCGAGGGGGGCGGUGGGCCCGGGGGCGGCGCCCGGCUCCUCAUGCAGGAACUGGCACUCCUCGCCGUAGAAGCAGGCACCCAGCAGCACGCUUGUCUUUUCCCUGCCGGCUGGGAUUACGGGAAGGCAGCCUGUGGGAUUCGCUCUCUCCUGAAGUCGAAUCGGGGGGCGGGCGGUUUUUAGUGGGACUUUUGAAGUGUUUUCCUCUGAGAGUGGAGAAUUAUGUGAUGUGAAUUUUCAGUGACUCCCUUGCAAAGCUACUCAAGAUGUUUCAUUAAUUUUUCCUCAGUCGAAUUGUUGGCAUAGCUCGUGCAGCUGAAGUGAUGUAUAUGUAGACAAAAAAGCAGCAUAUGUUAAAGUACACUUGACAUUAUUUUGGUAAGAAAAACAUUUGCUGUAGAAUUAAGAUUACUUUUUUGUCUGUCAUAGUCUUCUCUCUUAGUAAAAGUGAAAAGAAAAUCAGGGCCUGCUUCCAGGAUGCUUUGACAGUUUGUACAAAAAUAAAUUGAAAAAAGAGUGAGCUUUUAAAUGUCACAUUGGAACAAAUCGAAGUCUUUCUUCCUCAAAUAAAGUCUUUAAAGACUUCAAGAAGUAAGUGGGCCUUAAGCUGAAAUCUUAAGAUCACUAUUUGUGCAGCCAGAAU
rnacentral:lncRNA from 1 species